rnacentral:rRNA from 1 species
UAGGGAAUCUUCCACAAUGGACGCGAAGUCUGAUGGAGCAACGCCGCGUGAGUGAAGAAGGUCUUCGGAUCGUAAAACUCUGUUGUUAGAGAAGAACACGAGUGAGAGUAACUGUUCAUUCGAUGACGGUAUCUAACCAGCAAGUCACGGCUAACUACGUGCCAG